CAGAUUGAUUGCUUAUUUGCAAAUCAUUUUUUAUAUUGUUGUCAUUACCUUGGUUGAACAUCCCAAGAAGCUGGUCUCAUUGGCUGUUGGUUUAUCAGCCUGGGCCAUCACAACUUUUGGUCCCCAAGGUGUUGGCUCCUCUUGUUUUCUCUGUCCAGAGACAACCCGAGCAGUUGGCUGGUUCACCUUCUACAAUGAGAAACGGCCACUCAUCAACACACAGAGUCUUGUCAUCCCCCUCCGGUUGAGCAAACUGCAAAGACAUAGUAAGAAUUAUAUGUACAUUACAAUUGAGAAAUGGAAACCCAAAAUUACACUUUCUUAAAGGGAACUUAGAGAAAAUAUCAAAAGAAUAGAGAACCGCACUCUAUUCACUGAAUGUGUUUAAUCAUUACAUGUUGUAUGCAAAUUACCUUGCUCGAAUGCACAAAGACGCUGCCCUCCAGAGUGGCUGGCACAGCAGCUUCUGGAACAGGUCGAGGAGGAGGUACGCCCUCCAGAGUAGCUGGUACAGCAGCUUCUGGAACAGGUCGAGGGGGAGGUACCAGCUUCGAAGCUAUCAUACCAAUGUACAAACCUCAUGAGGAAGGAUCCGCACGGAAGACUGAUCCCAGUCCUCAGGCGCAUCCCAGGACUCAGUUUCCUUGA
rnacentral:lncRNA from 1 species